rnacentral:misc_RNA from 1 species
AACGCUGCUGACAACGACAGUUCGUGACAGUUCAUACGUAAAUCUUUUUAUUGAUCGGUUGGGUUAACUUUCCUCCAAACAAAUAAAACUCAACUAUUUAGUUAAAAAUCCUUAAGAGCAGACAAAUUUUGUUAGUGGAUGUUUUAAACGUGUUGGUGUAUUAAAUUACCCAACUUACGGCCAGUUUUAUGGUCUACAUUUGCGACCGCACUGGAGCUUCCCGAAGGUUAGCAGUCCUAGACGAUGUCUUGGCAAUCCUGGCACCAAACGGCUGCACCGCCGCCCAAUGUAAUGACUGCCCCCCCUAUGGCGAAUGCAAUGGGCCCCACACUAAUGCAGUCGGCAGUCAUCCCAGGCAAUGUGAAUGCUGCACCUUCGAUAGUGGCCCCUCCGACAGCUGUACAAUACAGUACUGAGCAGUGGUCUCAGAUGCAGCAACAGAACUGGCAGCAAUGGGCCCAGUGGCAGCAGCAGUACCACCAAUGGCAUCAGCAGUAUGGUGCUGAAUACGAGAAAUCCAUUAAUGCCUUGACCGCUGUGGGUCCCAACACUGCGGUGCCGCCGCCAUUGCCAACUGAGGCUAAACAUGCGGUGCCUCCACCUCCACCAGAUAAUACCAAGUUAGGGGCGGCAAACCAGUACAGUGGGUACACGACAGCGCCCCCACCAGGACAAUUUGCCAGUAGCGUUGCUCCUAGCCAGUAUGCAGAUCAGCAGGACUGGAAGAAUUCCGCUAACAAAAGGUCACUUCCGGCGAGUACAGAUGUUGAACCCAGCAAAAGGCAGAUGCUUCAGGCGCCCAAGAACAGUAACUCCUGGCAGAAUCAACCGCCACCUAGCGCCCAAACGCCAGCUCAAAAAGCCCUCAAUCUGGAAGAGCUGACCGAGGCGGAGAAGAAAUUCGACAAGGAGUUUGCUGCGUGGGAGGCGCAAUUCAACAAAUGGAAAGAACAGAACGCCAAUCAUCCCGACAAGUCACAGUACUUGGAAUACGAAAAAAAGUGGGAUUCUUGGAGAAACUCUCUUUUGGAUAGGCGGGAGCAAAUGCGCAAGAAACGCGUCGCGCUGCAAGCAUCGAUGACCGCUCAUGUAACAACGCCGCCAAUCCUGCCCCAACAGCAGCAAAAAAUGCAGUUUAAGCAACCCCCACCACUUAUUGGACAAAGCUUUUCCAAUCAGGGCAGCCAGCGUCCUGUCCAGGUUUUCGACAAACCUCCACCGACUCAUAAUAAUGCACAUUUAAGCUUCAAACAGCCGCCCACUGCGGAAGAGUCCUCAGAUGUGGGAAACAACUUUCUAAAGACAUCUUCACCAACGCCUGGUGGCAUUCCGGGCCUAGAUUUGGUUAAAGAGAGCAGCAUUCAAGAGUAUAACGAAGUGCCUGGCGAACAGAUGAGUGCCAGUGUUGUCGUUUCUAAAGGCCCUGACCUGGAUGCUAUUUCUAGAGGAAUAAACACUAUACUGGGAGAUGCGAAGCUACUCAAUUUGUUGUCUAUGGUAUCGCAGAACAAGAAGGUUCCAACGGAAGUAGUGGAAACCGAACGAAAAGUACCUGAGGCGGUUCAGGCACGCACGUCCAUAUCGAGCUUAAUGGCCACAUCGGUCCAACGUCCGCAUUUUAGCAAAUCAAGCCAUGAAGUAAAUGACUAUGCAGAGGAUCGUCAGAACUCGGUCGAUCUGGUAACAGUGAACAAUUUUGAUGACCAGACCAGAAUGAGCUUUUCUAAUGGCCCCAACGAGGCAGAUCAAGGCAGCAACAGUCAGUCGCGCUUGGAUAACUCGCACAAUCUUCCCCGGGGGGAUUACAGACCCGGAUUUCACCAAGAACAGAAUAAUUUUCGGGGUUUCAAUGGCGACAACAGGCCUCCUUUUGCGCAUCGUCCAAGUGCGAAUUAUUCUCAGAAUCAUCCUUCGGAUUACCAUAAGAGUUUCGGUAACCAAUAUGACGGCGAUGAUCAAUGGAACGAAGAAGAGGAGUAUGAUAAGUAUCAUGACAUGUUUAACGAAGAGGAGCGUUCACUACCAGAUCGUCAUACUGUGGAACCCCCUCCAGUGGAUAAAGAGCCGUUUUUUGUUCCGGAUGUCGUUAUUGACUACGAGCACAGACCUCUUAAAGAUCCCGAGCCUGAAAUAUCCUUAGACGUAAUCCGGGCCUUUGACUACAGACAUAAGCCAGUUAAUCGUAUCCCAUAUCCUCAGAGGCCGCAAUGGCUAGCCAAUACGCUGCGAAACAUACGGCAGUUUGAAACUUUAGCUGCAGGUCGGUUCAACAUCAAUGAGAGGUCAGCGCACGUGGAAAGGGAGAUGUCUAGAUAUCCUGUAGAAAGAGUGGACUCUUAUGGGCGACGCCUCGAUGAUUGCAUGAGCUUUUCCAGAGAUGUAUAUGACGGCAGAUUGCCGUAUAAUGAGCGUGAAAGAGAGCGCGUUAGAUUUGAUUAUGAUCAGAGAGGCCGGGGCGACAGGUAUCAGCCAGACAGAAGAGCAGAGACAAGAAACCGUAUUGAGAAAAAGGCUCCGGAUGUCAAAGGGUUCGAAUCCAAAAUGGAACUGGAGGACUUAUCGGACGAAGACUGGGAAGACGACAAGAAAAAAACGCAAAGAGAUUCCUUUCAGUUAUCAUCACCAACGAGCCGUGUAGUAAAUAUUACAUCUUCUGAUUCUACAGCGGCGAUUUCGAGCAAUGCGGCAUCUAAUCAAUAUAUGACUUUAGAAGACCUCAUCAAUGCCCCGGGGCGAUUCACCCGACCGCCUAAGAUUGCUAUUAUAAUGCGAGGCCCGCCAGGCAGUGGAAAAACGUAUCUAGCCAAGCUCAUUAAGGACCGAGAGGUUGAAAACGGGGGCUCGGCGCCUAGGAUAUUGUCGUUGGACGACUAUUUCAUGAUUGAGCACGAAAGAGAAGUGAUAGAAGACGGAAAGGUGACGAAAAUCAAAGAAAUGACGUACGAAUACGAAGCCGGAAUGGAGGAAUCUUAUCGGCAGUGUUUGAUAAAAGCAUUUAAGAAAACGGUCACUGACGGAUACUUUCCGUUCGUAAUUGUGGACAAUGUUAAUCAGAAGGUUAAAAGCUUUGGAGAAAUGUGGAGCUUUGCCAAGCAGAAUGGAUUUCAGGUUUACAUUUGCCAAUUGGAUUUGGAUCCUGAACUUUGUACGAAAAGAAAUAUCCAUCAUAGAAGUGAAUCUUACAUAGAGAAUUGCAUAGCCGGUUGGGAACCGACGCCCUCACAUCACCCGAUGAUCGAUGCAACCAACUUUCUGCAAAGCACUGGAGCCAUCACGGAAGUCGAAAUGGAGGAGGCCGAACCAAGUCAUGACGAUGCUGAUGUCGAUGACGGAGAGUUUCCACAGGGACAUACUAGAAGCAAGUGGGAUUCAUUUGACUGUUCUUUAAAUAAUCUUGCUCGGCUCGACGGCGUCAACAAGCCGCUCCGGCCAUCCAGAACCAUGGAGGAAUACCUCCAACUGGACGACGAAUGGGAGCAACCCGAAAAUCCCACAAAACCCGGCCAGAAAAGGGUUCGAUGGGCCGAUCUGGAGGAGCAAAAACAACAGACAAAGAUGAAAGCUCUGGGAUUCGUCGUGGGCCAGACUAAUUGGCAGCGAAUUAUGGACCCAACCAAUGGUGAAAGUGCGCUCACUCAAACCAAGUAUAUCGAAAGACGCUAUAAUAACUGAAUUGCGUUUCAGUUUGCGAACUUGUUUUGAGCAAAGCUUAGAAAUUCGACUUUUUCGAACACGCGCGAUGUUAUUGCGGACAAGUUGAUUUAAAACUUUUAUUUGGGCGUUCUUGCAACUACAUGUUUGUUUUAUUCAUUAAAGGCAGAAACAGUU